CCUACGUGAGGCAGCAGUGAGGAAUAUUGGUCAAUGGGCGCGAGCCUGAACCCGCCAAGUAGCGUGAAGGAUGACUGCCCUACGGGUUGUCAACUUCUUUUAUAAAGGAAUAAAGUGAGGCACGUGUGCCUUUUUGUAUGUACUUUAUGAAUAAGGAUCGGCUAACUCCGUGCCGGCAGCCGCGGUAAUACGGAGGAUCCGAGCGUUAUCCGGAUUUAUUGGGUUUAAAGGGAGCGUAGAUGGGUUGUUAAGUCAGUUGUGAAAGUUUGCGGGUCAACCGUAAAAUUGCACUUGAUACUGGCAGUCUUGAGUACAGGUGAGGUAGGCGGAAUGCGAGGUGUAGCGGUGAAAUGCUUAGAGAUCACGAAGAACUCCGAUUGCGAAGGCGGCUUACUAAACUGCAACUGACAGUGAUGAUCGAAAGUGUGGGUAGCAAACAGGAUUAGAUACCCGAGUAGUC
rnacentral:rRNA from 1 species